CGGAGCUAACGCGUUAAGUCGACCGCCUGGGGAGUACGGCCGCAAGGUUAAAACUCAAAUGAAUUGACGGGGGCCCGCACAAGCGGUGGAGCAUGUGGUUUAAUUCGAUGCAACGCGAAGAACCUUACCUGGUCUUGACAUCCACAGAACUUUCCAGAGAUGGAUUGGUGCCUUCGGGAACUGUGAGACAGGUGCUGCAUGGCUGUCGUCAGCUCGUGUUGUGAAAUGUUGGGUUAAGUCCCGCAACGAGCGCAACCCUUAUCCUUUGUUGCCAGCGGUCCGGCCGGGAACUCAAAGGAGACUGCCAGUGAUAAACUGGAGGAAGGUGGGGAUGACGUCAAGUCAUCAUGGCCCUUACGACCAGGGCUACACACGUGCUACAAUGGCGCAUACAAAGAGAAGCGACCUCGCGAGAGCAAGCGGACCUCAUAAAGUGCGUCGUAGUCCGGAUUGGAGUCUGCAACUCGACUCCAUGAAGUCGGAAUCGCUAGUAAUCGUGGAUCAGAAUGCCACGGUGAAUACGUUCCCGGGCCUUGUACACACCGCCCGUCACACCAUGGGAGUGGGUUGCAAAAGAAGUAGGUAGCUUAACCUUCGGGAGGGCGCUUACCACUUUGUGAUUCAUGACUGGGGUGAAGUCGUAACAAGGUAACCGUAGGGGAACCUGCGGUUGGAUCACCUCCUU
rnacentral:rRNA from 1 species